AUCGGGGCUGGGGACAGGACAGGGACAGGGACAGGGACAGGGACAGGGACAGGGACAGGGACAGGGACAGGGACAGGGACAGGGACAGGGACAGGGACAGCCGUGGAGUGAGGUUCAGCUCCAUCCCAUCCCUAAAUCCUCUUGUGAGGAUCCCCGCGCUCCUGCGGAUCCCGAACCUGCGGGAAUGCUCCUGGAUAACAAAUUCCAGAGGUUUGAGAGCUGCUCCCCUCGGGAGAGGGAGCUCCAUGGAUUCCCUGCCUGUGUGUGCGAGGCCGAGCACGGCUGGGAUUGUUCCCGGGAUCCGGGCCCGGCUCAGCGAGCACCAGCGUGACCAGGAAAAUCAAUCCUUCCUUCCCAGAGCGGGAGGGAUUGGGAUAACAGCGAGCUGUGGGCUGGGGGAACCUGCCUAUCCCGGAUUUCCCGGGAUAACCGCCCCACCUCCAGGCACCUGCCCCACCUCCUGGCCUCCCUUCCCAGCCUGCUGCCGGGCAUUCCCUGCCUGCUGCAGCGGGAGCAGGUGCUCCGUGUGGGAGCGUCGCCGGGAUUCACCGGGAUUCACCGGGAUUCACUGGGAUUCACCGGGAUUCACUGGGAUUCACCGGGAUUCACCGGGAUUCACCGGGAUUCACCGGGAUGUGACAGCCGGAGCACAGGGAUACCCCGGGAUGGGAAGGGCUGUGCAAAGCCAGGGACUGGAAAGGCUCAGGGAUCCCCCCAGGAGCAUUCCCAAUCCCAUCCCGCUUUUCCGUGCCUGUGUCCUUGGCAUGGGAAUCCUGCAGGAUGAGCAGCCCCAGGAGCUGCUUCCCAUUCCAGGCUGGGAUGGAUCUGGAGGCCGGAGCAGCAGGAUGCCGUUCUCCUGACCCCGAUCCCGGCAGGAUGUCGGGCCCACGCGGCCCCGGCGAGCAGUGGCCGGCGCUGGAGUCGGUGGGGCUGAGCCGCAAGGAGCUGGCGCUGGCCGAGGCGCUGCAGAUGGAAUACGACGCCUUAUCCCGGCUCCGCCAGGACAAGGAGGAGAGCCGGGCCAGGAAGGAGCAGCUCCGGGAGCAUUCCCUCAUCUCCUGGGAUGACCCCGUGGACAGGAACGGCUGCGCCGGCAUCAAAGCGGCGCGGGGGCUCUCGGGCUCCG
rnacentral:lncRNA from 1 species